UAGUUUUUGAAAUUCAUGUGUGGAUGCCCUGAUGGAGCUCAGGAUUGUUCAGGAGGACGACUGCUUUACUCCAAACAGUAUGAACCUGGACUGUGUGUGAGAACUUUUGGAUGUGUAGAAGAACACAGAACAUGAAUUAUCGUUUGAUCCUGAGCGAGAGAAGUAGUCUAAUACGGAUGUCCGGACCUCGGGGACCUCAUAGCUGGUUACGGUAUUGGGUUAAAAGGAGAUCUUGUGGAAACGAAAGCAAACGCAAUCUACUCUUUCCGCGUUUUCACAAGCCUGCUCCUGAAGCUGCUGCCGCUGCCGCUGCCGCUGCAGCUGAUAACACGAAGUUACAGAAACUACAGAAAACGAACCCAAUGCUGUCCUAACGGUACCUGCUAAAAGCUGACUCUACAAGGAGUUAAAGCCAGCGUGCCAAGUGAAGACAAACUGAUGUCGCGCAAAAG